UCGGAUAUGGUGUAACGGCUAACAUUGCCGCCUCUCAUGUACUCUGAAUAUGCUCUUCGCGCGGCAGCUCGGGGUUCGAUUCCCCGUAUCCGAA